rnacentral:tRNA from 2 species
GUGUACUUAGCCAAGACAGCAAGGCAACUGAUUGCAAACCAGUCAUGCGAUGGUGCAAAUCCAUCAGUACACU